GAAAUGCGAUAAGUAAUGUGAAUUGCAGAAUUCCGUGAAUCAUUAAAUCUUUGAACGCACAUUGCGCCUAUUGGUAUUCCGAUAGGCAUGUCUGUUUGAGAAUCAGUUUAAUUAUCAUACCUUUUUAAGGGGUAUGGAUUUGGGAUUAGUUUUUUGAAAUAUUAAAAAAACAAUCCUUUAAAUAAUCUGUUGCGUUUAAAGUCUAUAUUGACUACGCUAGAAAGCAAGAUAAAAGGACCCUAGAGUUCUAUUUUAUUGCUGAUAAAGGUGUAGUCUAUUUAUAUAUAGAUUUUAAAAAGUCAUCAUAAUAAAUACGAGGUGAAAGCCUUAAGACUUGAUCUCAAAUCAGACAAGACUACCCGCUGAACUUAA
rnacentral:misc_RNA from 1 species